ensembl:lncRNA
CAGCCCAUGAAAGGUGUGCCUGGCGUUGAGGAACAGCAGUUCACCGAGAGGAAGAGCAAAAAGAAAGGGACUUUCAUAAUCCGAAGACUUCUCCCUGGGGCCUUGUUUGGUUCCGCCUCCAAGGUAAACUUGACCUUUUGACCGCUGUGACUUGUCCACCUCUGUGCUUUGCAUCCAUUUUGGUUCCACUCUGAUUGGAUUUGCUUGGCAAAUCAGUGCCCUUUCACAGCACACAUGGCUGAAAUCACACAGAGCUAACCCAGAUAUUGGUUUUUAAUAUAUAUACAUUUUAUAUACUAUAUAAUAUUAAUUUAAAAAAUAUAAUUCUUUUUUUUUUCUUAGUGUUACUUGUGGUUUUUGACAUUUUGUAAUUAUUUUUAGGAGUGUGAGCAUCAGUCAUCUGAAAUUGGAGAAGCGCGACCUGAUGGACAGGUGUGUGUGUUUUUUUUAGUUUGUUGUUUUUUUGGGGGGGUGGGUAUAUGUGAGCAUGUUUGUGUAUAGGCAAAGACAUUUCAUGAAGCUCCAUAGUUCUGCAGGAACACAUGCUGACCGUCCUCAAAGCAGGCAUACUGUACGUCACCAGUGAGGUGGCUGGGUAGAAAACACAAUCUGGGUUGUGAAACAUUAUGCAAAACCUGCAUUUAGUAAAAUUGAUUACAGAUUAGGCUAAUAGAUUAUGAUAGAUUAUUUUGUUCUUGUGCGCAUCUUUGUGUGUAUUUGUGUGAGCAUGUGCGUUUGCUUGUUUGUUUGUUUGUGCGUACGUGUGUGUGUAUGUAUGCGUGCAUUUGUUUGUUUGUGCACGCGUGUGUGUGUGUAGUAGCUGUCACUAUUAUUUCUCUGUGUGGGUUGGUAGCUGUGUCUGUUCAGCUUCAUAAUAA